rnacentral:rRNA from 1 species
AUUGAACGCUGGCGACAUGCCUUACACAUGCAAGUCGAACGGCAGCACGGGUGCUUGCACCUGGUGGCGAGUGGCGAACGGGUGAGUAAUACAUCGGAACAUGUCCUGUAGUGGGGGAUAGCCCGGCGAAAGCCGGAUUAAUACCGCAUACGAACUACGGCUGAAAGCGGGGGACCUUCGGGCCUCGCGCUUUAGGGUUGGCCGAUGGCUGAUUAGCUAGUUGGUGGGGUAAAGGCCUACCAAGGCGACGAUCAGUAGCUGGUCUGAGAGGACGACCAGUCACACUGGGACUGAGACACGGCCCAGACUCCUACGGGAGGCAGCAGUGGGGAAUUUUGGACAAUGGGCGAAAGCCUGAUCCAGCAAUGCCGCGUGUGUGAAGAAGGCCUUCGGGUUGUAAAGCACUUUUGUCCGGAAAGAAAACCUUGGCCCUAAUACGGUCGGGGGAUGACGGUACCGGAAGAAUAAGCACCGGCUAACUACGUG